GCGGCGUGCUNAUACAUGCAGUCGAGCGGACAGNAUGNGGAGCUUGCUCCCUGAUGUUAGCGGCGGACGGGUGAGUAACACGUGGGUAACCUGCCUGUAAGACUGGGAUAACUCCGGGAAACCGGGGCUAAUACCGGAUGCUUGAUUGAACCGCAUGGUUCAAUUAUAAAAGGUGGCUUUUAGCUACCACUUACAGAUGGACCCGCGGCGCAUUAGCUAGUUGGUGAGGUAACGGCUCACCAAGGCAACGAUGCGUAGCCAACCUGAGAGGGUGAUCGGCCACACUGGGACUGAAACACGGCCCAAACUCCUACGGGAGGCAGCAGUAGGGAAUCUUCCGCAAUGGACGAAAGUCUGACGGAGCAACGCCGCGUGAGUGAUGAAGGUUUUCGGAUCGUAAAACUCUGUUGUUAGGGAAAAACAAGUACCGUUCGAAUAGGGCGGUACCUUGACGGUACCUAACCAAAAAGCCACGGCUAACUACGUGCCAGCAGCCGCGGUAAUACGUAGGUGGCAAGCGUUGUCCGGAAUUAUUGGGCGUAAAGCGCGCGCAGGCGGUUUCUUAAGUCUGAUGUGNAAAGCCCCCGGCUCAACCGGGGAGGGUCAUUGGAAACUGGGGAACUUGAGUGCAAAAAAGGAGANGUGGAAUUCCACGUGUAGCGGUNGAAAUGCGUAAAGAUGUGGAGGAACACCAGUNGGCGAAGGCGACUNCUCUGGUCUGUAACUGACGCUGAGGCGCGAAAGNCGUNGGGGAGCGAACAGGAUUNAGAUACCCUGGUAGUCCACGCCGUAAACGAUGAGUGCUAAGUGUUAGAGGGUUUCCGCCCUUUAGUGCUGCAGCAAACGCAUUAAGCACUCCGCCUGGGGAGUACGGUCGCAAGACUGAAACUCAAAGGAAUUGACGGGGGCCCGCACAAGCGGUGGAGCAUGUGGUUUAAUUCGAAGCAACGCGAAGAACCUUACCAGGUCUUGACAUCCUCUGACAACCCUAGAGAUAGGGCUUCCCCUUCGGGGGCAGAGUGACAGGUGGUGCAUGGUUGUCGUCAGCUCGUGUCGUGAGAUGUUGGGUUAAGUCCCGCAACGAGCGCAACCCUUGAUCUUAGUUGCCAGCAUUCAGUUGGGCACUCUAAGGUGACUGCCGGUGACAAACCGGAGGAAGGUGGGGAUGACGUCAAAUCAUCAUGCCCCUUAUGACCUGGGCUACACACGUGCUACAAUGGGCAGAACAAAGGGCAGCGAAGCCGCGAGGCUAAGCCAAUCCC
rnacentral:rRNA from 1 species